rnacentral:lncRNA from 1 species
GAAACUUAAUAAAUAUAUUUUUGGUGUUUUUUCAGUUCCUAGAAUAGUGUCUGGCAUCCAGUAGGUGCUCAAUACACAGUGCUGAGAGGGUGAAUGGAUUCUUGGGUUCAUGGGUGGGUGUUGUUUUGUUUUUUUUUAGUUUCCAGUGGUUUUUUCUUUGGUUCUGUUUCAGUUGUGAGGUUUGUUGUUUUGGGUGCUUCUAAGAAAUUUGAUUAGCAUAAUUCAACCUCAGUGUAACACUUCAAAUGUCAACUCCCCCUUCUUCAGUUUAUACUAGAUCAUUCUUUAUUCUUUGGACUGUCGUUUUCCAAGCAGUUCAGCAGUGUAGACCCCCAGAGUUUCUUCCUGAGUGGAACAAUAGAUUCAAAAGUCCACACGCUGGAGUGCAUUGUUUGCUUCAAACUGGUUGGAAGCUUAGCUUGUCUCUGGCAAGCAUUUCUAGCUACGGAUGCUUGGUUUAUAUUGCUCUGUUGGCACGGAUGCUCUCAAGCCAGAACUGUGGUUUUUUUCAUGUCCACAGAGGUCUCAGCAAAUGGUGUCAUACUAAUUACAUUGUCUACUUUAAGCCCAAAAUAUUGAUGGAUAAUGGGCCAAGGGUCCCAGUGGAAGCAUACUGGCAGAGCUUCUUACCUAUUAUGACAUUUUUACUAGCUGUCUUUAUUUUCCAAUCUACUUUCUUCAGUUACUUCAUGUAAGGGGUUAUUAUUCACAGUGAGAACAUCAUUUUCCCUGUGGCAGAGAGAGAAGUACAGAGAUUGCAAGGGCAAAUUCAGAAGCAAUCCAAGCCAGCCUCUGGCCUCUGAGCAGAGCCAAAUCCAUCAAGCAGGGGACGAGACAGCAGAGUGUACUCUUUAAUUAGCUCCUGCCCACAAAGAGUGGUUUUCAUGGGGGAAGUGGUUAGUUGGGUUGGUUAUGCAAGUGUUUUUUUGUUGUUGGGGGCUUUUCUGUGUCCUUGCGGGAGGAUGAGUUUGGUUCUUAUGUCCGUGCUUGUGUUAAUUUGGUUUAAGUUUUAAAGUAAAUAUAUUCACUUUUUAAAAGACCUCGUUUACUUAGACAUGCACAAAGCUGGAUUUCAAGGCCACCAAAGGACAGAAAGUACAUUUUAUCCAUAUUCAGAGUUGAUACAUCAGCCCGUGUACUUUGGGGCAUGUCAUAGGGGCUGUCUGCAUGCUGGUGAAUGAAUGAAUGAAUCCAGGAAUGUAUGACCAGGUAAAUAAACAAAUCAGUGACAUUCUUCCCACAUGGAUAUUUAUAAUAAGGAAUUAAUAAUUCUCUUUGUAUACUAUACUCUUUGUAUACUCAGAUGUCUCUGAGCCCCCUUGGUCAAUCUGUGACAAUUCCAGAAAGCUUCUGUUAUAAACACAUUGAACACAUCAUGAGUUACCUAUUUUUCUCUGCCCAGUCCUGCUUCCACCCUUCCUUACAGGGUUGAUUCCCAAAUGCAUUUCCCAAUAAACCUCCUACACACAGUUCUCUGGGACAGUCUGUUUCCAGGAAGCCCAAC